ACUCUCUCAGUGGCUUAGUGAAGGGACUCAAUCACAACGAGACGCUAUAGGCCUCCUCCCUCCUCCUCUCACGCUCAUCUUUUAUCGGACGGAGGAAAUGAAAGGAUGUUAUCUGGAGCGGCGUACGCUGCACAGCGUCUUGGCCUCGGGAGACGGGUCUCGUCUGAACGAGCCAACCGGCCUAUUCUUUGGGGAACUCGCCCCUCAUAUAAAAAACAAGAGCUUUAGAAUGCCAUGCUAGGAACUCAAAGAACGGGGACAGUUUGUCAAGGCUGCGUGAUGCUAUGGUAACUGUUGGUGUGGACGGGUUAGGUGCUGUGAGUUGGUGUGUGUUGGGGUGUGGGGGGGGUGACCCCCGUAUAAGCCACUAUUAGACGGUGUUAACGUGAACAAGCGGGCAGGAACUAACAAAUAACCUGGAAUAGCAAGACGAUGGAGUUCAUAGUGGUAAGUAGAGGUCAGGGUAUUGAUGUACCAUGAUGAUGGAGAGGGUAUAGGUCAGGGUAUUGAUGUACCAUGAUGAUGGAGAGGGUAUAGGUCAGGGUAUUGAUGUACCAUGAUGAUGGAGAGGGUAGAGGUCAGGGUAUUGAUGUACCAUGAUGAUGGAGAGGGUAUAGGUCAGGGUAUUGAUGUACCAUGAUGAUGGAGAGGGUAUAGGUCAGGGUAUUGAUGUACCAUGAUGAUGGAGAGGGUAGAGGUCAGGGUAUUGAUGUACCAUGAUGAUGGAGAGGGUAUAGGUCAGGGUAUUGAUGUACCAUGAUGAUGGAGUGGGUAGAGGUCAGGGUAUUGAUGUACCAUGAUGAUGGAGAGGGUAUAGGUCAGGGUAUUGAUGUACCAUGAUGAUGGAGAGGGUAUAGGUCAGGGUAUUGAUGUACCAUGAUGAUGGAGAGGGUAGAGGUCAGGGUAUUGAUGUACCAUGAUGAUGGAGAGGGUAUAGGUCAGGGUAUUGAUGUACCAUGAUGAUGGAGAGGGUAGAGGUCAGGGUAUUGAUGUACCAUGAUGAUGGAGAGGGUAGAGGUCAGGGUAUUGAUGUACCAUUGAUGAUGGAGAGGGUAGAGGUCAGGGUAUUGAUGUACCAUGAUGAUGGAGAGGGUAGAGGUCAGGGUAUUGAUGUACCAUGAUGAUGGAGAGGGUAGAGGUCAGGGUAUUGAUGUACCAUGAUGAUGGAGAGGGUAUAGGUCAGGGUAUUGAUGUACCAUGAUGAUGGAGAGGGUAUAGGUCAGGGUAUUGAUGUACCAUGAUGAUGGAGAGGGUAUAGGUCAGGGUAUUGAUGUACCAUGAUGAUGGAGAGGGUAUAGGUCAGGGUAUUGAUGUACCAUGAUGAUGGAGAGGGUAUAGGUCAGGGUAUUGAUGUACCAUGAUGAUGGAGAGGGUAUAGGUCAGGGUAUUGAUGUACCAUGAUGAUGGAGGGGGUAGAGGUCAGGGUAUUGAUGUACCAUGAUGAUGGAGAGGGUAUAGGUCAGGGUAUUGAUGUACCAUGAUGAUGGAGUGGGUAGAGGUCAGGGUAUUGAUGUACCAUGAUGAUGGAGAGGGUAUAGGUCAGGGUAUUGAUGUACCAUGAUGAUGGAGAGGGUAGAGGUCAGGGUAUUGAUGUACCAUGAUGAUGGAGAGGGUAGAGGUCAGGGUAUUGAUGUACCAUGAUGAUGGAGUGGGUAGAGGUCAGGGUAUUGAUGUACCAUGAUGAUGGAGAGGGUAUAGGUCAGGGUAUUGAUGUACCAUGAUGAUGGAGAGGGUAGAGGUCAGGGUGUAACAGGGUAUUGAUGUACCAUGAUGAUGGAGAGGGUAUAGGUCAGGGUAUUGAUGUACCAUGAUGAUGGAGAGGGUAGAGGUCAGGGUGUAAAAGGGUAUUGAUGUACCAUGAUGAUGGAGAGGGUAUAGGUCAGGGUAUUGAUGUACCAUGAUGAUGGAGAGGGUAGAGGUCAGGGUAUUGAUGUACCAUGAUGAUGGAGUGGGUAGAGGUCAGGGUAUUGAUGUACCAUGAUGAUGGAGUGGGUAGAGGUCAGGGUAUUGAUGUACCAUGAUGAUGGAGAGGGUAUAGGUCAGGGUAUUGAUGUACCAUGAUGAUGGAGAGGGUAUAGGUCAGGGUAUUGAUGUACCAUGAUGAUGGAGAGGGUAUAGGUCAGGGUAUUGAUGUACCAUGAUGAUGGAGAGGGUAUAGGUCAGGGUAUUGAUGUACCAUGAUGAUGGAGAGGGUAUAGGUCAGGGUAUUGAUGUACCAUGAUGAUGGAGAGGGUAGAGGUCAGGGUAUUGAUGUACCAUGAUGAUGGAGAGGGUAUAGGUCAGGGUAUUGAUGUACCAUGAUGAUGGAGAGGGUAUAGGUCAGGGUAUUGAUAUACCAUGAUGAUGGAGAGGGUAGAGGUCAGGGUAUUGAUGUACCAUGAUGAUGGAGAGGGUAUAGGUCAGGGUAUUGAUGUACCAUGAUGAUGGAGAGGGUAUAGGUCAGGGUAUUGAUGUACCAUGAUGAUGGAGAGGGUAGAGGUCAGGGUAUUGAUGUACCAUGAUGAUGGAGAGGGUAUAGGUCAGGGUAUUGAUGUACCAUGAUGAUGGAGAGGGUAUAGGUCAGGGUAUUGAUGUACCAUGAUGAUGGAGAGGGUAGAGGUCAGGGUAUUGAUGUACCAUGAUGAUGGAGAGGGUAUAGGUCAGGGUAUUGAUGUACCAUGAUGAUGGAGAGGGUAUAGGUCAGGGUAUUGAUGUACCAUGAUGAUGGAGAGGGUAUAGGUCAGGGUAUUGAUGUACCAUGAUGAUGGAGAGGGUAGAGGUCAGGGUAUUGAUGUACCAUGAUGAUGGAGAGGGUAGAGGUCAGGGUAUUGAUGUACCAUGAUGAUGGAGAGGGUAGAGGUCAGGGUAUUGAUGUACCAUGAUGAUGGAGAGGGUAUAGGUCAGGGUAUUGAUGUACCAUGAUGAUGGAGAGGGUAUAGGUCAGGGUAUUGAUGUACCAUGAUGAUGGAGAGGGUAUAGGUCAGGGUAUUGAUGUACCAUGAUGAUGGAGAGGGUAUAGGUCAGGGUAUUGAUGUACCAUGAUGAUGGAGAGGGUAUAGGUCAGGGUAUUGAUAUACCAUGAUGAUGGAGAGGGUAUAGGUCAGGGUAUUGAUGUACCAUGAUGAUGGAGAGGGUAUAGGUCAGGGUAUUGAUAUACCAUGAUGAUGGAGAGGGUAUAGGUCAGGGUAUUGAUGUACCAUGAUGAUGGAGAGGGUAGAGGUCAGGGUGCAACAGGGUAUUGAUGUACCAUGAUGAUGGAGAGGGUAUAGGUCAGGGUGUAACAGGGUAUUGAUGUACCAUGAUGAUGGAGAGGGUAUAGGUCAGGGUAUUGAUAUACCAUGAUGAUGGAGAGGGUAUAGGUCAGGGUAUUGAUAUACCAUGAUGAUGGAGAGGGUAGAGGUCAGGGUGUAACAGGGUAUUGAUGUACCAUGAUGAUGGAGAGGGUAUAGGUCAGGGUAUUGAUAUACCAUGAUGAUGGAGAGGGUAUAGGUCAGGGUAUUGAUGUACCAUGAUGAUGGAGAGGGUAGAGGUCAGGGUGCAACAGGGUAUUGAUGUACCAUGAUGAUGGAGAGGGUAUAGGUCAGGGUGUAACAGGGUAUUGAUGUACCAUGAUGAUGGAGAGGGUAUAGGUCAGGGUAUUGAUAUACCAUGAUGAUGGAGAGGGUAUAGGUCAGGGUAUUGAUAUACCAUGAUGAUGGAGAGGGUAGAGGUCAGGGUGUAACAGGGUAUUGAUGUACCAUGAUGAUGGAGAGGGUAUAGGUCAGGGUAUUGAUGUACCAUGAUGAUGGAGAGGGUAGAGGUCAGGGUAUUGAUGUACCAUGAUGAUGGAGAGGGUAGAGGUCAGGGUAUUGAUGUACCAUGAUGAUGGAGUGGGUAGAGGUCAGGGUAUUGAUGUACCAUGAUGAUGGAGAGGGUAUAGGUCAGGGUAUUGAUGUACCAUGAUGAUGGAGAGGGUAGAGGUCAGGGUAUUGAUGUACCAUUGAUGAUGGAGAGGGUAGAGGUCAGGGUGUAACAGGGUAUUGAUGUACCAUGAUGAUGGAGAGGGUAGAGGUCAGGGUAUUGAUGUACCAUGAUGAUGGAGAGGGUAGAGGUCAGGGUGCAACAGGGUAUUGAUGUACCAUGAUGAUGGAGAGGGUAUAGGUCAGGGUGUAACAGGGUAUUGAUGUACCAUGAUGAUGGAGAGGGUAUAGGUCAGGGUAUUGAUAUACCAUGAUGAUGGAGAGGGUAUAGGUCAGGGUAUUGAUAUACCAUGAUGAUGGAGAGGGUAGAGGUCAGGGUGUAACAGGGUAUUGAUGUACCA